rnacentral:lncRNA from 1 species
CUAAAAUAAAACGAUAAAUAAAGCAAGAUAAAGAGAACAUCUAGCAGUAUCAAAGCAAGUAUAUCUAGAUGCUACAAUAACCGAAAUGAACAUAGAGCUAAAUCCACUAGGUAGAAACAGGAAGUAGUACAAUAAACAUCCAAAGUACAAAUGCUAAACCAGAUACAUAGGUGGUCUCUCUAUACAAGGUACUAACAUAACUCUCUCUCUCUCAACUACAACAAAAGGAGUGUGAACUACCAAAAUGCAAAAGAAA